rnacentral:tRNA from 1 species
UCCCUGGUGGUCUAGUGGCUAAGGACUCAGCAUUGUCACUGCAGUGGCUUGGGUUAAAUUCCUGGCCCGGGAA